rnacentral:rRNA from 1 species
AACGAACGCUGGCGGCGUGCCUAACACAUGCAAGUCGUACGAGAAAGGGUCCUUCGGGGCCUGAGUAAAGUGGCGCACGGGUGAGUAACGCGUGGAUAAUCUGCCCUUCAGUUGGGAAUAACUCAUCGAAAGGUGGGCUAAUACCGAAUAAUGCUGUGAGACCUCGGUUGAUCAGCCAAAGAGAGCCUCUGCUUGCAAGCCCUCGCUGAAGGAUGAGUCCGCGUACCAUUAGCUAGUUGGUAGGGUAAUGGCCUACCAAGGCGACGAUGGUUAGCUGGUCUGAGAGGAUGAUCAGCCACACUGGAACUGAGACACGGUCCAGACUCCUACGGGAGGCAGCAGUCAGGAAUCUUGCGCAAUGGGGGCAACCCUGACGCAGCAACGCCGCGUGAGUGAGGAAGGUCUUCGGAUCGUAAAGCUCUGUCGGAUGGAAAGAACCGAAUAGGGGUAAACAGCCCCUGUGUCUGACGGUACCAUCAAAGGAAGCACCGGCUAACUCCGUGCCAGCCGCCGCAGUAAUAC